rnacentral:rRNA from 1 species
CGCGUAGGCGGGCAUUCAAGUCCGUGGUGAAAUCCGGCAGCUUAACUGUCGAACUGCCGCGGAUACUGGGUGUCUCGAGGGAGGUAGGGCGCGCGGAACUAUUGGUGGAGCGGUGAAAUGCGUUGAUAUCAAUAGGAACUCCGGUGCGAAGGCGGCGCGCUGGACCUCUUCUGACGCUGAGGCGCGAAAGCCAGGGAGCAAACG